CUUCAAUCUUCAUUAACAGCGGUAACGAUCUCCUUUCUUUCCCAUCAUCAACAGCUCACGGCUUCCUCUUCAUCAACAGCGGCAGGCAACAUCGCUCUCCUCUUCAGCCUUCAUCAUUAACGGCUUCCUCGUCACCUGCGCCCCAGCUUCUGGACAAGGCGAUUCUUUAUUUCCAUUAUUUCUUCGUCAGAAAAGCAUACCUGGAAACCAGCUGUUGAUUCCCUGCACUGUCUGAAAGCUUGCAGCAGAGGGACGAAUUCUCCAGGUUGUCAGAUUUCGUGGUGCCAUGGCUCUACCUAUCACGCGGUUCCUCUGUCUCUUCUGUACUGACUGGAUUUUCUACAGUUUUAUUACUCCUUCUUCAAUGUUGAAUUGUAAAGGGUAUUUAUAAAUUAAUUUGUUUAUUAAUCGAGACUGAAUUUCUUUUUUAAAGAAUAAAAAACACUUAAUUUCCCGUA